CGGAGGGUGCAAGCGUUAUCCGGAUUCACUGGGUUUAAAGGGUGCGUAGGUGGGUUGGUAAGUCAGUGGUGAAAUCUCCGUGCUUAACAUGGAAACUGCCAUUGAUACUACUAGUCUUGAAUUUUCUGGAGGUAAGCGGAAUAUGUCAUGUAGCGGUGAAAUGCUUAGAUAUGACAUAGAACACCAAUUGCGAAGGCAGCUUGCUACAGGGAUAUUGACACUGAGGCACGAAAGCGUGGGGAUCAAACAGGAUUAGAUACCCUGGUAGUCCACGCCCUAAACGAUGGAUACUCGACAUUUGUGAUACACAAUAAGUGUCUGAGCGAAAGCAUUAAGUAUCCCACCUGGGAAGUACGACCGCAAGGUUG
rnacentral:rRNA from 1 species